GAUGAACGCUGGCGGCGUGCCUAAUACAUGCAAGUCGAGCGAACAGAUAAGGAGCUUGCUCCUUUGACGUUAGCGGCGGACGGGUGAGUAACACGUGGGUAACCUACCUAUAAGACUGGAAUAACUCCGGGAAACCGGGGCUAAUGCCGGAUAACAUUUAGAACCGCAUGGUUCUAAAGUGAAAGAUGGUUUUGCUAUCACUUAUAGAUGGACCCGCGCCGUAUUAGCUAGUUGGUAAGGUAACGGCUUACCAAGGCAACGAUACGUAGCCGACCUGAGAGGGUGAUCGGCCACACUGGAACUGAGACACGGUCCAGACUCCUACGGGAGGCAGCAGUAGGGAAUCUUCCGCAAUGGGCGAAAGCCUGACGGAGCAACGCCGCGUGAGUGAUGAAGGUCUUCGGAUCGUAAAACUCUGUUAUUAGGGAAGAACAAAUGUGUAAGUAACUGUGCACGUCUUGACGGUACCUAAUCGGAAAGCCACGGCUAACUACGU
rnacentral:rRNA from 1 species